UACGUAGGGUGCAAGCGUUGUCCGGAAUUAUUGGGCGUAAAGAGCUCGUAGGCGGUCUGUCGCGUCUGCUGUGAAAACUCGGGGCUUAACCCCGGGCCUGCAGUGGGUACGGGCAGACUAGAGUGCGGUAGGGGAGACUGGAAUUCCUGGUGUAGCGGUGAAAUGCGCAGAUAUCAGGAGGAACACCGGUGGCGAAGGCGGGUCUCUGGGCCGUAACUGACGCUGAGGUGCGAAAGCGUGGGGAGCGAACAGG
rnacentral:rRNA from 1 species